GACGAACGCUGGCGGCGUGCCUAAUACAUGCAAGUUGAGCGCUUAAGGUUGGUACUUGUCCCAACUGGAUGAGCAGCGAACGGGUGAGUAACGCGUGGGGAAUCUGCCUUUGAGCGGGGGACAACAUUUGGAAACGAAUGCUAAUACCGCAUAAAAACUUUAAACACAAGUUUUAAGUUUGAAAGAUGCAAUUGCAUCACUCAAAGAUGAUCCCGCGUUGUAUUAGCUAGUUGGUGAGGUAAAGGCUCACCAAGGCGAUGAUACAUAGCCGACCUGAGAGGGUGAUCGGCCACAUUGGGACUGAGACACGGCCCAAACUCCUACGGGAGGCAGCAGUAGGGAAUCUUCGGCAAUGGACGAAAGUCUGACCGAGCAACGCCGCGUGAGUGAAGAAGGUUUUCGGAUCGUAAAACUCUGUUGGUAGAGAAGAACGUUGGUGAGAGUGGAAAGCUCAUCAAGUGACGGUAACUACCCAGAAAGGGACGGCUAACUACGUG
rnacentral:rRNA from 1 species